rnacentral:piRNA from 1 species
GAGGCAGUUUUGAGCUUUUUCUAGCAGUC